rnacentral:rRNA from 1 species
ACCCACCUGAUUCCAUCCCGAACUCAGAAGUGAAACGAAACAGCGUCGAUGGUAGUGUGGGGUCUCCCCAUGUGAGAGUAGAACAUCGC